UUAUACACAAAAUAGUUUAGUUUUCUUUCUUUUUUCUUCUCCAUACGAAGAAACCAGAAGCAAGUCUCAGAUUCAAUCGGAACAAUGGCUUCCUCAAAUUCUCAGAUUUGAUCUCUCUCCACCGUCGACUGAAGCUUCACCACCACACUCCUUUUGACACCGACGCUCUUUACCACCACCACCACCAGCUCGUCACCACCAUCGCCAUCUCUCUCAUCCGCCAUCUCUCUCUCUCUGAUUUUGUUUUGAUUUUACAGGAAGGUGGGUCGUGAGCAACUGGAUUGGGGUUCAUAUUAGGGUUCCCAAGGUCGCUCCUGCUCCUCAUACGGUUUCUGCGGUUGGAGAUGGUGGCAUUGAUGAAGCGGCCGAGGAGGCUUCGGCGCAGAAGAAACAUGUUUCUCUUCAGAGACAAGCCGCCGUUACGGUUGAGGCUGCUGAGGAUUACACUCGGAGGUUUGAAUCUAGUGUCAAUGAGCUUUCCUCUAACGAUCAGGUUGGUGAAGAGUUGGCUCAGUCCGGCGUGAAUGUAAUGUGCAGAAUGUGCUUCUUGGGAGAAAGCCAAGGAAGUGAGAGAGCAAGGAGGAUGCUUUCUUGUAAAAUCUGUGGCAAGAAGUACCAUAAGAAUUGUGUAAAGUCUUGGGCUCAACAUAGAGAUUUGUUUCAUUGGAGCUUAUGGAGUUGUCCCUCGUGCCGUGUUUGUGAGGUCUACCGUAGAACAGGAGAUCCUAACAAGUUUGUGUUCUGCAAGAAGUUUGUGUUCUGCAAGAGGUGUGAUGCCGUAUAACAGGAGAUCCUAAGGGGGUUGUUGGAUCAUGUAGCUUCUUAGUUAUGACCUCUAGCCAACAGGAGAUCGAAGGUGAUAAACAGAGAAUCAUGUACACGAAGCAAACAAACAGAGAAUCAUGAGUGCGUUAGUCUCGAAGCAACUUUCCAUUAGAGGAAGACCACAAAGACAUGCUUCACUUCAUUCUUCUUAUGCUUUGAUUCGAGAGGGAGAGAGUUAUGAUUUUUUUUUCUAACUGUUGAGACUUGUUAGUGUUUUCUGGGGUGUUUUGUACAUUAAUGAUAAAUUCAGGCCAAAAAAUAAAUUGGAGCUAAAACUCAAAAUAUUAUUGGAGCCAAUUUUUGGAGCUUAA